GCGUGUGACGUCACGAAGGAACAUGUCGGAUCUUGUUCACAGUGUUCUUCGUUAAGACGCACAUCACUCACAUCAGUGUUUCAGUGUAUUAAUCUUUGAAGUGAUAAAGAAUUUUGUGUCAUAAAAAAGCGUUUCUUGAAAGUAUAAUUAUAUUUUUAUAUAACUUAAAAGUUAUUUGUCGAUUAGCAUAUUAAUGUAAAUAAUAUCAAGAUUAAAUAAGUUCAAUACAAAAACUGAACCAUAUUAAUAUUGUGUUAAACAAAAAAAAAGUGUACUAUAAACUUCUCUCUAGACGUUUGUAUCGGUGUGUAUUGUGUACAUAAUACGAACUUGUGGACUAAUUUAGCUAGAUAAAAAUUUGUGUUGUGUGUAAAGCUUCGUUUUUAUGUUUAAUUACGUAAAACAUUUAAGAUGGUUUUUUUUAUGCAUUAGUUUUAUUUUUAAAUGAUUCAUCCAAUAAAGAAAUUGAUAUAUUGAAUAUCGUGGUACCGGAUGUAAAUAGCCUGAAUCAUUGUUAAAAAGUACUAAGUAUUGUAAAUUAUUACAAACGAUAGUUAAAGAGAAGAAAGAUAAAAAUAAGAAGAAAGAUAAAUAAAAAGAAAGAUAAGUUCAAAUAAGUGGCACAGCAGAAACAAUGGAAGAGGCAGAGGAAAAAUUAAUAAGAUUAAAAAGAACCCCUAUUCUUCUCUACCAAUAAUGAGUAUUCUGCUAAAGCAAAAGCGGCUGCUGUUGAAAAAAGUUUCAAAUUAAAAGCAUUAGCAAAGGAUUGAUUCAAAAUAGAUAAUAUAUUUAGCCAAAUAGCUUUAGAGUUAACUGACGAAUCCACUGAAAUUGCAGAACCUAAGAAAUAGAAGCCAAAAAAAUGUAACCAAAAAAUUGUGAAGAAACAAGCCUAAAAACAUAAUCUCGAAUGGUCAUCUACAUCAAUAGCGUCUUCGAUAUCUUCAUCACCACUGUCAUCGUUAUGUAAACCUAUGAAAAUAAAUAAUGAAACUAAAAAAACGAAUUAAUGACAGUACUAACUACAUUGUUGGCUCAAAAGGAAAAAAAAUUAGUUCAUAAUCCACACCAUGCCACCUUGAUCAUCUUCAUCAUCAACUAAAAGUAGAAAAAUAAGAAAAAUCAAUUCGAGUUUGAAGGACAUAAAUAUGCUUAUGGAAAUAGCACAUGAAGACAGUAUUAUCAGCAACAAUUGCUGAUAAUCCCUUUUCAUCAUCAUCAUAAAUCUGAAACAGAAGCUGAAAUGAAUAUAUUAGCAGCUAGAUCAUCAUCAACAAAAAAUACUGUAUCCAGUGAUUCUUUGCUGGAAUGUAUCAAACAUAAUAACAGUCUAUCAAAACAAUUAGCGAAUUUAAAAGUCCAUAUCUGCUGACGUUCCCAAAUCCUAUCUGAAAUAAAAAAAUAACAGUACUCAGCUGUUAGAUUUCAGUUUAUUAACAGAUCCUGAAGGAAAUCCAGUGGUCCAAAAAUUAGAAUUUCCGUUAUCAACAAUGGAAGAUAUUAUUUUGAUAAAUUCAAUGAAAAAUUAAAAGGCCAAAAAUAUAAAAAUAAAAUGAAUAAACAUAUAUACUUUUCUCUUGAUGGAAAAAAUACUUUUACCCAUAAUAUGGGAAAUAUUACUCGUGUUUAUAUAACAAGAGAUGUCAUAAUUAUGUAGAAGUUAAAGCAACUUCAAAAAAAAGUUUUCAAAGAUACGACUUUUUCACUUCUAUAAAAACUGCAGUAAGACAGAAAUUCGAAAAGAAUCAAGAAAGUAUUUUCGAUAAUAAAUUCCCUCAAGCAUUGUCUGCAGUAUUGAAUAAUGCUAAUAUAUUAAUAAAGAUUGGGAUGGGUACAGGGUAUUCAGGAUCAAAAAACUACCAUCUAAUGAAGAUAAAUAAAAACAACUAAUCGCUUUUAA